UAAUACGUAGGGUGCGAGCGUUAAUCGGAAUUACUGGGCGUAAAGCGGGCGCAGACGGUUACUUAAGCAGGAUGUGAAAUCCCCGGGCUCAACCCGGGAACUGCGUUCUGAACUGGGUGACUCGAGUGUGUCAGAGGGAGGUAGAAUUCCACGUGUAGCAGUGAAAUGCGUAGAGAUGUGGAGGAAUACCGAUGGCGAAGGCAGCCUCCUGGGAUAACACUGACGUUCAUGCCCGAAAGCGUGGGUAGCAAACAGGAUUAGAUACCCUGGUAGUCCACGCCCUAAACGAUGUCAAUUAGCUGUUGGGCAACUUGAUUGCUUAGUAGCGUAGCUAACGCGUGAAAUUGACCGCCUGGGGAGUACGGUCGCAAGAUUAAAACUCAAAGGAAUUGACGGGGACCCGCACAAGCGGUGGAUGAUGUGGAUUAAUUCGAUGCAACGCGAAGAACCUUACCUGGUCUUGACAUGUACGGAAUCCUCCAGAGACGGAGGAGUGCCUUCGGGAGCCGUAACACAGGUGCUGCAUGGCUGUCGUCAGCUCGUGUCGUGAGAUGUUGGGUUAAGUCCCGCAACGAGCGCAACCCUUGUCAUUAGUUGCCAUCAUUCAGUUGGGCACUCUAAUGAGACUGCCGGUGACAAGCCGGAGGAAGGUGGGGAUGACGUCAAGUCCUCAUGGCCCUUAUGACCAGGGCUUCACACGUCAUACAAUGGUCGGUACAGAGGGUAGCCAAGCCGCGAGGCGGAGCCAAUCUCACAAAACCGAUCGUAGUCCGGAUUGCACUCUGCAACUCGAGUGCAUGAAGUCGGAAUCGCUAGUAAUCGCAGGUCAGCAUACUGCGGUGAAUACGUUCCCGGGUCUUGUACACACCGCCCGUCACACCAUGGGAGUGGGGGAUACCAGAAGUAGGUAGGGUAACCGCAAGGAGUCCGCUUACCACGGUAUGCUUCAUGACUGGGGUGAAGUCGUAACAAGGUAGCCGUAGGGGAACCUGCGGCUGGAUCACCU
rnacentral:rRNA from 1 species